rnacentral:rRNA from 1 species
UAAGACAUGCAAGUCGACGAAAGCCGUUUAAUUAAAUGAUUGGAUGUGAGGACUUGUCCAAGUUGAAAUGAAUUAUUUAGAACAUAUGACUUUAGUGGCGGACUGGUGAGUAACGCGUGAGCAACCUGCCUGUUAGAGGGGGAAUACCAGUGAGAAAUCACUGCUAAUACCGCAUAUGCUAUGAGUAUUGCAUGAUACAAAUAGGAAAGGAGAAAUCCGCUAAUAGAUGGGCUCGCGUCUGAUUAGAUAGUUGGUGAGAUAAAGCCCACCAAGUCGACGAUCAGUAGCCGGACUGAGAGGUUGAACGGCCACAUUGGGACUGAGAUACGGCCCAGACUCCUACGGGAGGCAGCAGUCGGGAAUAUUGCACAAUGGAGGAAACUCUGAUUGGCAGUGACGCCGCGUAUAGGACGAAGGUCUUCGGAUUGUAAACUAUUGUCGUUAGGGAAGAUACAAGACAGUACCUAAGGAGGAAGCUCUGGCUAACUACGUGCCAGCAGCGGC